GUACCUAACCAGAAAGCCACGGCUAACUACGUGCCAGCAGCCGCGGUAAUACGUAGGUGGCAAGCGUUGUCCGGAAUUAUUGGGCGUAAAGGGCUCGCAGGCGGUUUCUUAAGUCUGAUGUGAAAGCCCCCGGCUCAACCGGGGAGGGUCAUUGGAAACUGGGGAACUUGAGUGCAGAAGAGGAGAGUGGAAUUCCACGUGUAGCGGUGAAAUGCGUAGAGAUGUGGAGGAACACCAGUGGCGAAGGCGACUCUCUGGUCUGUAACUGACGCUGAGGAGCGAAAGCGUGGGGAGCGAACAGGAUUAGAUACCCUGGUAGUCCACGCCGUAAACGAUGAGUGCUAAGUGUUAGGGGGUUUCCGCCCCUUAGUGCUGCAGCUAACGCAUUAAGCACUCCGCCUGGGGAGUA
rnacentral:rRNA from 1 species